GACGAACGCUGGCGGCGUGCUUAACACAUGCAAGUCGAACGAUGAACCCGGAGCUUGCUCCGGUGGAUUAGUGGCGAACGGGUGAGUAACACGUGAGUAACCUGCCCUUGACUCUGGGAUAACUGCGGGAAACUGUAGCUAAUACCGGAUACGACCCUCGGCGGCAUCGCCAGGGGGUGGAAAGAAUUUCGGUCAAGGAUCGGCCCGCGUCUGAUUAGCUAGUUGGUGGGGUAAUGGCCCACCAAGGCGACGAUCAGUAGCUGGUCUGAGAGGAUGAUCAGCCACAUUGGGACUGAGACGCGGCCCAAACUCCUACGGGAGGCAGCAGUGGGGAAUAUUGGACAAUGGGCGCAAGCCUGAUCCAGCCAUGCCGCGUGAGUGAUGAAGGCCUUAGGGUUGUAAAGCUCUUUCGUCCGGGACGAUAAUGACGGUACCGGAAGUAGAAGCCCCGGCUAACUUCGUGCCAGCCGCCGCCGUAA
rnacentral:rRNA from 1 species